GAUUUUCUCUUCUGCUUCUGCGGCUCUGCGUUGAGGAGAAAAUGGCACUUUCCUUUGCUGUCCUUUUGUUGUCUCUUUCCUUGCUCCACCAACCAAGCGAUGGCCUUACCUGGAAAAACUGCAGGGCUGAUGACCAGCUUGUCACAUUGAAAACCAUUUCAGUUCAACCAGAUCCUAUUAAAAUACCAGGGCAAAUCUCGAUCGAAGGGACUGCCGAUGUGGCUAGGUCCAUUUCAUUUCUGAAGGCUGAAGUGAGAGUGCACAAGAAACUUCUGUUUUGGUGGGAACUUCCCUGUGGCAACACUGAAUGCACCUUUGAUUUAUGCCAGCCCCUUAAUCUACAACCAAAUUGUUCUCUCAGCAGUGGAUGGUUGAACUUCCCACCAACGACGUUUAAUAUUCCACAAAAAAACCUCUCUUCCUUUUGGACCAAUGGCCAAUACAGAGUCACUGUUCUUCUGAAGAGUUCCAGAAUAAAUGUCGGCUGCUUUGAACUGUACUUCAACAUUGAACAUAACUAGCAAUGAUUUUCAGUAUUUGGUGACUAGAAAUUCUGAGGCCUAGGAUCAAAGCUGUGGAAUUCCUUCCCAGAACUGUUCUGUCCCUAUAUCUCCCACUGCAAGUUUUAACACUUGUUCUAAGAUUUCCCUUGCUGUCAAUUUUUUUCUGUUUUUGUUCCUGGAAUAUGCGUUUUCUUACUGUAUUUUUAAAAAUAAUCAACUUUGGCUGACUUGAUUCCUUUCAGGAGACACAGAUGCUGGAAUCUGGAGCAACAAAGAACCUGCUGGAGGAAUUGAGUGGUUUGAGCAGCAUCGGUGGGAGGAAAGGAAUUUCAAUGUUUUAGGUUGAAACCCUGCAUCAGGAUUCCUCUCACUCUGGCCCUCAUAAGCCACCUUCUUUUUCUUCUUAGACAGUUCCCUGAAGUCAAGGCUGAUUUGUUUCCACUUCAGUUCACUGGGUUCUGAGGUUGCUGAAGAGUCCCAUGUGGGACCCACCGACAGCAAUAAAUGCAUUAGUGGUUUGGGAGUUGCCAAGCUCCUUCUGCUGUUUUCACCAGCUCCCAAACAAUUUCAAGAUAUCAAUACCUUCCCAAAUGCUCCUUUUCCAUUCUAGGAGGUUAGGGGCCAGAAACUAAUUAAUAAGGAUGUUGCCUUUCUUCAGUGAAGCUUUAAGAACACCUGACACGUUUUGAUUGUCCUCCUGGUAAUUUCUUGCUGUAACAGAGCUUGGAAUAGAGUAUCUGUUUCAGGAGUCUGGAAGGGGGCAUACAAAUAGUUCUGUCUGCCCAUUGGAAAUGGCUUGGUGUAAUUAAGGCCUCGAUGCCAGAAAUUUUGGCCAGGAAGCAAAUGCUGACAUUGACAUGGAGGUAAUGUGAAUAGGAUCUCUCCAAUUCUUUGAGGUGCCUACUGUAGCGAAUCCUAGCCUCUGAGGGGGCACAGAAACAACUGCGUGAUAGAUUCUCAGGUUUCAGGUCUUUAUCUUACAACACCCUGUUCCUCAGACUGUCAGAGGGGGAGGUGUGGAUGGUAAGUUUAGUCAUUGAUGCGUGAGAGGUAGCUCAUGUGAUGUGGAAAGUGACUCAUGCUUAAUGGAGUCUAACCUUGGAUCAGUUUUGCCAGAGGGUGAGGUUGUGCAGAAGCACAGUUGAUGAUAGACAUUUAUUUCAUAAAUGUUUAGUACAAGGCUGAUCUUCUUAUAUGCCUUGGUGAAUGAGUCAUUGAUGAUUAGGAGGGUGGCUUCUGAGUGUGCACAAAUGCAGUCAUUGUCUGUACACUCUAGUUUGGUGGCUGAGAUUGGAGUAAUGAUGCAAAAGUGGCUGAAACUGAACCCUUUCCCUUUCAUUCAGUAAAGUAGCUCCAGUCUAGUGGGAUGAUCAUUGGCGGUGAGCUGAAGUAUUUCAGCAAGAAGGACUGAAAAGAGAGACGAUGUGAUGAUUCAGCUUUACUUUUGCAGUCUGCACUGGGGUUGGACCCUCUGUUCAGAAUCAUAACACCAUAAAAGACAAAGGAGCAGAAUUAGGCCAUUUGGCCCAUCGAGUCUGCUCCACCAUUCGAUCAUGGCUGAUUUAUUUUUCCCUCUCAAGCCCAUUCUCCUGCCUUCUCCCCAUAACCUUUGAUGCCCUUACUAAUCAAGAAACUAUCAACCUCUGCUUUAAACAUACCCAAUGACUUGGCCUCCACAGCCGUCUGUGGCAAUGAAUUCCACAGAUUCACCACCCUCUGGCUAAAGAAAUUCCUUCUCAUCUCUGUUCUAAAAGGAUGUCCUUCUAUUCUGAGGCUGUGCCCUCUGGUCCUAGUCUCCCACUAGUGGAACCGUCAUCUCCAUGUCCACUCUAUCCAAGCCUUUCAAUACUCGGUAGGUUUCAAUGAGAUCCCCCCUCAUCCUUCUAAAUUCCAGCAAGUACAAGCCCAGAGCCAUCAAACGCUCCUCAUAUGUUAACCCUUUCAUACCUAGGGUUGUUCUUAUAAACCUCCUCUGGAUCCUCUCCAACGCCAACACAUCCUUCCUUAGAUAUGGGGCUCAAAUCAUGGCUUGCAUGUCAUUGUGCAGGAGUGUAGAAAGAGACCACUUUCUAAGGUUAGCCAAAUUUGAGAAUAAUUUUUCUCAUUUCUCUUCAGUUGACAGAGUCAUAUACAUUUGUUUGUUCAAAAUGCCACAUUGAGUAUAUAAGUUGUAUAAGUCAUUGGUGAGGCUGCAUUGGGAGCACUGUGUACAGUUUUGGUCACCCUGCUAUAGGAAAGACAUGGUUAAACUGGAAAGAGUGCAGGAAAGAUUUACAAGGAUGUUUCCAGGACUUGAGGGCCUGAGUUAUAGGGAGCGGUUUGGCCAAGCUAGGUCUUUAUUCCUUGGAACGUAGAAGAAUGAGGGGCAAACUGAUAGAAGUUAUGAGAGGCAUAGAUAAGGUGGAUGGUAACAAUCUUCUCCCCAGGGUAGGGGAGUCCAAAUCUAGGGGGCAUAGAUUUAGAGUGAGAGGGGAAGGAUUUAAAAAGGACCUGAGGGGCAAAUUUUUCAUGCAGAGGGUGGUGAGUACAAGGAAUGAGCUGCCAGAGGAAGUGAUUGAGGCGGGUACAAUAGUAUCAUUUAAGAAGUACUUGGAGGGGAGGGGCCUGGAUAGAUAAUAGCCGAAUGCAGGAAAUUGGAACUAGCUAGGUGGACAAUGUGGUUGGCCUGGACUCAUUGGGCUGAAAGGCCUGUAUCCAUUCUAUAUUGCUCUAUGACUCAUUGACUACAUGAGUGUUGAUACUUGUCCUAGCAACUUUCUUAGCAUGCAGUGAAAAUCAUGUUCAUUGUACCUCUAGAGGAACGAAAUCUACACUGUGGCUUGGGAAGCAUCUUUUUGGCCAAUUAAAAGCUUUGCCAACAACAUAGAUUUUAAGCGAGAGGGUUCCAGGAUAAGGUGGCUUAAGUCACAGAUGUCAUUGGAUAUAUAAUGGAUGUACAAGAGGCAGGAAUUGAAGGAAUACAGUGUUCAUAGAGGAGAUGCUAACCCCAAUCCCUUGAGAUGUUUGGCUGCCACUCUCUGAACCUUCCUGUCUAAUUGUUCAGUCUUGUUCCUCUUCUGAAGAUACUUUUCAUAAUUUACAUCAGCUAAUUUCUGGCCAUCCUGCUCAUUCUGCUUCCGUGAUUUGGAGCCAUUUUUGAGGAGGCCACGUUGAAGCAUUUAAUACUUUCUUUUACAGUAAUGCAAGCUACUGCCUCCAGGAUACUUAUAGGUUUUUGAAGUGUUGUAAAGUCAUUAGAAUUUUCUCACAACUUAAUUUUAUCUCCAAGUUGUAUUCACUUCUUGUGAUUUAAUUCAUUGUUUAUUACUGGCUGCAAUAAUCACAACAGGGACAAAGGUAUUUAAUUUGUAAUGUUUUCACCACUGUCUCCUUGUGUGUUGAAGAGUCGUACUAUGCUUUGUCUAGGACUUGGGUGCAUAUGCUGAAAUGCUUAAGGACUGAUGUUAGGAUGGCUUGAAUAAAGAUUACUUUUUAACAAAGGAA